UAUUUUUUGCAAAACUUCCCCCCAAAAUUUUCCUCUGAAAAUCUCCCCAAAAAAACACUACUCCCUGCGAUAUUUCUUAGAAGUCAGAACAUUCAAAUUCAUUUCCCCCUCCCCAAUUUCUCUAUCCCGUUCAAUUCCCUUCACCCCAAUUGUAAACCUCAAGCACCUUCAGGAAUAGCAGUAUGAAUGUAUCCUAGUGUACUGUCUUCUUGCUUAAUUCUCUCUUUCCAUCUCUUUUUGUACUGACAUUGCAACAUUGAAAAUCACCAUUUUUCUUUCUUUCUUGGUUGGAUUUGAAUUGUUCCUUCUUUCUGCAGUGUGUUUUGAUUUCAUGGAGGAAUUUAAUCAUGUUUAGAAGAAUUGUCAGCAAAAAAGGUUUCUUCUAAUCUCAAGGUUGUACAACUCAUAUGCCGCUCCAUUCAGAAGGAAAGCUAACAAUGUUUACUGUCUGUUGUUUCCUUCCGCACCUAUUGAAAAUAUCAAAUGGGCGGAUGCACAAGUGAAUUGGAGAGGAAGCUGCUAAAACGAAGUAGCAGCAAGAGUUGUGGACGUGAAGAAAUCUCCUGUUGGUGAACUAGUUGCAUUUUCAAGAAUCCAGCCUAAUAGUUUGAUCCAAUCAUUAUUUUAUUAUAAAAACGUACAGUUAUGCACAAUUUCAUUCUUGGAAUUAGUUAUAGAGAUCUUCUGUUUACAAA